AGAGUUUGAUCCUGGCUCAGGAUGAACGUUAGCUACAGGCUUAACACAUGCAAGUCGAGGGGAAACGGACAUCGAAAGCUUGCUUUUGUAUGGGCGUCGACCGGCGCACGGGUGAGUAACGCGUAUCCAACCUGCCCACCACUUGGGGAUAACCUUGCGAAAGUAAGACUAAUACCCAAUGACGUCUCUAGAAGACAUCUGAAAAGAGAUUAAAGAUUUAUCGGUGAUGGAUGGGGAUGCGUCUGAUUAGCUUGUUGGCGGGGUAACGGCCACCAAGGCGACGAUCAGUAGGGGUUCUGAGAGGAAGGUCCCCCACAUUGGAACUGAGACACGGUCCAAACUCCUACGGGAGGCA
rnacentral:rRNA from 1 species